rnacentral:lncRNA from 10 species
CCGCUUUCGGGCUGCUAGCUUUCCUGAGCAAAACCCUGUGCAUACAAUGUUCUCCUCGGUCCUCUGCUCACUCUUCUCUUAGGCUUCCCUUUAAGUUUCACCCAUUCACAUUUUCUCAGAGAAGUUUGAUUUUUCUUGUGUGUUUUUCUUGUGAUACCGCUGGCUGCCGACUCCAGCUAGAGAACAAGCAUCCCACAGCACCGUUUUCUCAUACAAAGGAUACUUAAGGCAGACUAGGGGUAGUAGGGGCAGAAGCCUGGCAAAGUCACAGUUUGAGCUGAGAGGCUGUCCGCAUAUAUCAUACUCAACUGUGAGCGGGGUCUGGUACUUCGAUCGCCUUUCCAGAUUAAUCCUCUGACAGCAGCGAAGGGCUGUGUGUGUGUGUGUGUGUGUGUGUGUGUGUGUGUGUGAAGGAGGGAAGGAGAAGUUCUAGCGACCUAGCAUUUGGCUACCCCAGACAGCAAGCAGGAGUGAGUCAGGUGGCAUUGCUGCCAGAGACCAGGCAGCGUCGCGGGCAUGGACGGCGCUUUUCCAAGCAACGGAAUAACCAAAAGGCACCUGGCAAAAAGCUCUAGGCAUUCUAACUCUAAAAGGACUGAUGAAGACGCUUUUCUGACUACAGACAGAAGGACUCCCCGUUACUGAAUGUUUUUAAUGUACCAUCUGCAUUAUAUAAAUUGUCCCAUUAAUCCUCCAAACCAUUCUAAGAGGACAGGUUUUGCCUUAAGUUAUCCAGAUGUUGUGUGGUGAGGUGAAGGAUUCCAACAGUUUUGUUCGUUGAGAAAAGCAGAAUCCUUUUUUUUUUUCAUUAACAAUGAGAAUGAAUUUUCCUAUUCCAUCAAGAUUUCUAUGUGGCCAUCUCUUCAGGACAUAGGUAUCAGCUACUGUUUUAAAUUUAGGAAAUGCACACACAUAUGCAACCAACCACAUAAUGUUUCCAAAGCAAUAUAUUGAGAUUGAUACAAAUACACAUUUUUCAAGAAUCCUGGACUAAUCCCACACUACUCUGAGCCGCCUUUACUUUUUAAGCCUCUUUAUUUCUAUUAUAUGACUGUGAACUAAGUAGAUUUAACUUUUGUAUGCUUUUAAAAUCAGUUAUAUUUUCUGAUAUGUGAUAACAAAUAUACUGUGUAUUUCAUUGAAACGUAUAGGAAAACUGCUCUUUUUUUCCUUUUAAAAUCAAUGCCUAUGGUAUAGUCAACAAAGUAUUUAAUGAGUGGCUAUUUUGAGCCAUUUUUAAUUGGCUGGACUACUGCAGACAUACCAUUUUAAAUGAUUACACAUAUGUCUAGAGAAUCAGCAUAGGAUUUUUGUUUUCCCUUUGAGAUUGAACAAUUUUUAUUUCAUCAUUACUAAAACUUAGCUGACAAUUUUUAUUUUUUCAUUACUAAAACUUAGCUGGAUGUCAGUUUCUGCCUUUAAAUAAAAUAUCCAAAUCCAGGAUUAUUCUCAAUUGCAAAAAUGCAGCUGGUCUCAACUAUUCCUUUUAUAUUUUCUUUCACAUAGGGUAGAAAAUGGUGAAUCAUUGUACUUUCAUAUAAUAAAAAGAUGUCUUGAAUUUUAAAUGUAAUUGUCCUUUCUUGAGUAACUUCUAAAUGAAGUGAAACCACAAAGGCAGUUUGGCACACUAUUGAUUCUAUCCUGGUUAUCUUUUUUGUCAGGCUAGAAUGUGAAGGGAAAGGGUUUGGAGCACAGAAUGGUUUUCCUUUUAAAGAAAAAAAAUUGAAUGAAAAAUUGGCAAUGAAAAUAAAAUACUGGACCUAGAUUCCCCAACUCUGUGAAUGUUGUUAUUAUUAGCCUCCACCUUCUCUAGCCCUGUUGCUGGAGCCAGACGCAC